rnacentral:rRNA from 1 species
UACGAAGGGGGCUAGCGUUGCUCGGAAUCACUGGGCGUAAAGCACACGUAGGCGGCUUUAAGACAGGGGUGAAAUCCUGGAGCUCAACUCCAGAACUGCCUUUGAUACUGGAGAGCUUGAGUCCGGGAGAGGUGAGUGGAACUCCGAGUGUAGAGGUGAAAUUCGUAGAUAUUCGGAAGAACACCAGUGGCGAAGGCGGCUCACUGGCCCGGUACUGACGCUGAUGUGCGAAAGCGUGGGGAGCAAACAGG